rnacentral:rRNA from 1 species
ACACACUUGUCAUCUUUAUAUCUCCACCUGUGCACCUUUUGUAGAUCUGGAUAUCUUUCUGAAUGCCUGGCAUUCAGGUUUGAGAAUUGACUUUUUGUCUUUCCUUACAUUUCCAGGCCUAUGUUUUCUUCAUAUACACCAUUAUGUUAUAGAAUGUAAUGAAAGGCCUUUGUGCCUACAAACUUUAUACAACUUUCAGCAACGGAUCUCUUGGCUCUCGCAUCGAUGAAGAACGCAGCGAAAUGCGAUAAGUAAUGUGAAUUGCAGAAUUCAGUGAAUCAUCGAAUCUUUGAACGCACCUUGCGCUCCUUGGUAUUCCGAGGAGCAUGCCUGUUUGAGUGUCAUUAAUAUAUCAACCUCCUCAGGUUUUUACUUGUCGAGUGUUUGGAUGUGGGGGUUUCUUUUGCUGGUCUCUUUGAGGUCGGCUCCCCUAAAAUGCAUUAGCGGAACAAUUUGUUGACCCGUUCAUUGGUGUGAUAAUAUCUACGCUUUUGACGUGAAACAGGUUCAGCUUAUAACAGUCC